GACGAACGCUGGCGGCGUGCUUAACACAUGCAAGUCGAACGGAAAGGCCCUGCUUUUGUGGGGUGCUCGAGUGGCGAACGGGUGAGUAACACGUGAGUAACCUGCCCUUGACUUUGGGAUAACUUCAGGAAACUGGGGCUAAUACCGGAUAGGAGCUCCUGCUGCAUGGUGGGGGUUGGAAAGUUUCGGCGGUUGGGGAUGGACUCGCGGCUUAUCAGCUUGUUGGUGGGGUAGUGGCUUACCAAGGCUUUGACGGGUAGCCGGCCUGAGAGGGUGACCGGCCACAUUGGGACUGAGAUACGGCCCAGACUCCUACGGGAGGCAGCAGUGGGGAAUAUUGCACGAUGGGCGGAAGCCUGGUGCAGCAACGCCGCGUGCGGGAUGACGGCCUUCGGGUUGUAAACCGCUUUCGCCUGUGACGAAGCGUGAGUGACGGUAAUGGGUAAAGAAGCACCGGCUAACUACGUG
rnacentral:rRNA from 1 species